AUCAAGCCUUGUGAAUUCAUACGAGGAAAAAUACAGAGUCAUGCUCGCUUGCUUCCAGCCUUUGACAGUAAUCAACCGAUCGAUCAAUCCAAUCACUUCAAGUCGUGAUCAGAAAAAGCUUUACAAGUUCACAGAUCAAUACUAAGCACAAACCAUCGCUUCUUCUCGCCUGACUGACAAUGAAAGACUGGUUUUCAGCCAUCUGAGGGUUUUUCCCAGCCAGUGAAGUCUAUCCAGAAUCCCCACGGGGAUCGCCCAAUCACCAUCGGCUGGUGUGCAAAGCGGCCACAGAAAAUGCGUCAUUUUGCCAUGGCGAUUGACUACCUAUUGGCGAGGAAAUGUAUCAAUACGCGUGUAUAAGGGAUAAUUAAUUGAACUAAUUGGUUUGCCUCAUUGCUAUUACUUUAU
rnacentral:lncRNA from 1 species